rnacentral:rRNA from 2 species
AGAGUUUGAUCCUGGCUCAGGACGAACGCUGGCGGCGUGCUUAACACAUGCAAGUCGAACGGAAAGGCCCUUCGGGGUACUCGAGUGGCGAACGGGUGAGUAACACGUGGGUGAUCUGCCCUGCACUUUGGGAUAAGCCUGGGAAACUGGGUCUAAUACCGAAUAGGACCACGCGCUUCAUGGUGUGUGGUGGAAAGCUUUUGCGGUGUGGGAUGGGCCCGCGGCCUAUCAGCUUGUUGGUGGGGUAAUGGCCUACCAAGGCGACGACGGGUAGCCGGCCUGAGAGGGUGACCGGCCACACUGGGACUGAGAUACGGCCCAGACUCCUACGGGAGGCAGCAGUGGGGAAUAUUGCACAAUGGGCGCAAGCCUGAUGCAGCGACGCCGCGUGAGGGAUGACGGCCUUCGGGUUGUAAACCUCUUUCAAUAGGGACGAAGCGCAAGUGACGGUACCUAUAGAAGAAGCACCGGCCAACUACGUGCCAGCAGCCGCGGUAAUACGUAGGGUGCGAGCGUUGUCCGGAAUUACUGGGCGUAAAGAGCUCGUAGGUGGUUUGUCGCGUUGUUCGUGAAAACUCACAGCUUAACUGUGGGCGUGCGGGCGAUACGGGCAGACUAGAGUACUGCAGGGGAGACUGGAAUUCCUGGUGUAGCGGUGGAAUGCGCAGAUAUCAGGAGGAACACCGGUGGCGAAGGCGGGUCUCUGGGCAGUAACUGACGCUGAGGAGCGAAAGCGUGGGGAGCGAACAGGAUUAGAUACCCUGGUAGUCCACGCCGUAAACGGUGGGUACUAGGUGUGGGUUCCUUCCUUGGGAUCCGUGCCGUAGCUAACGCAUUAAGUACCCCGCCUGGGGAGUACGGCCGCAAGGCUAAAACUCAAAGGAAUUGACGGGGGCCCGCACAAGCGGCGGAGCAUGUGGAUUAAUUCGAUGCAACGCGAAGAACCUUACCUGGGUUUGACAUGCACAGGACGCCGGCAGAGAUGUCGGUUCCCUUGUGGCCUGUGUGCAGGUGGUGCAUGGCUGUCGUCAGCUCGUGUCGUGAGAUGUUGGGUUAAGUCCCGCAACGAGCGCAACCCUUGUCCUAUGUUGCCAGCGGGUUAUGCCGGGGACUCGUAGGAGACUGCCGGGGUCAACUCGGAGGAAGGUGGGGAUGACGUCAAGUCAUCAUGCCCCUUAUGUCCAGGGCUUCACACAUGCUACAAUGGCCGGUACAAAGGGCUGCGAUGCCGUGAGGUGGAGCGAAUCCUUUCAAAGCCGGUCUCAGUUCGGAUCGGGGUCUGCAACUCGACCCCGUGAAGUCGGAGUCGCUAGUAAUCGCAGAUCAGCAACGCUGCGGUGAAUACGUUCCCGGGCCUUGUACACACCGCCCGUCACGUCAUGAAAGUCGGUAACACCCGAAGCCGGUGGCCUAACCCUUGUGGAGGGAGCCGUCGAAGGUGGGAUCGGCGAUUGGGACGAAGUCGUAACAAGGUA